UGGUUACGAAAAGAGUUUUAAAUUUUAAAGAGACCGAUGACAGUUAACGGUCUCAGGCGACAGGCACAAAACGGAGAGAAACUAUGUUUGAA
rnacentral:ncRNA from 1 species